AAGUCGUAACAAGGUUUCCGUAGGUGAACCUGCGGAAGGAUCAUUAAUGAAUUAUCUGUUUGUAUGCAAAUAUAAACAAACCCCCUUCAUUAUCCUUUCUACCUGUGAACUGUAUUAUUCUUUCGCGUGACUUUGUAUCAUUUCUUCUGUGUUUUGUUUUCUUAACAAACCAGGAAAAAGGCUACAUAGACUGCAAAGAACAACAUCAACCAAAACAACGUAUCAAAAGAAUGUGAUUUUUAUAAUCAAAUUGUGUAAUGCAAUAUGAUCAAAAACAAAACACAACUUUUAGCAACGGAUCUCUUGGCUCUC
rnacentral:misc_RNA from 1 species